rnacentral:miRNA from 1 species
ACGUGCGUCGUAGUUUAACCUUAACGUGCGUCGUAGUUUAACCUUCACGUGCGUCGUAGUUUAACCUUCACGUGCGU